rnacentral:rRNA from 1 species
AUGGAGAGGAGUACUACAGUAUGCACUCUAUCGAUGAACCUGCCUAGAGAACGAUUAUGGCCGACAGUGGGAUUUGUUAUUCAGGACUUAAUUGGUUGCUCCAUCCAAAAAAUAACAAUAUCAGUAACAAAAGUAUCAUCAAGAAGUAGCUGUGCAGCUAUACCAAGGCCAUUUGAAAGUUACUCGCUGCUAGUUACCCUCCACACACUGGAGUCUUGGAAUGAUGAUUGGGGUCUGCCAUCCCGGCCUCAAGGGUUACACAGCCUUUCCUCACUCAUGGGAGUAGUAGUCAUGGUUUGUCCUGGUCGUUGCGUAAGGGGUGACCUCCCUGUUUCACUGCGACAGCUAGAUAUAUUACGCUUCAGUGCAGAGCUACAAGAGGGAAUGAAGAAAUUAGAAGGAACAAACCCAACUUUAGCCCAGCCCAAGGCUUGA